GCAGUGGUGGCCGAGUGGUUAAGGCGAUUGACUCGAAAUCAAUAAUUAUUGGGCUCUGCCCGCACAGGUUCGAAUCCUGUUCACUGCG